AUUGAACGCUGGCGGUAUGCUUAACACAUGCAAGUCGGACGGAAACGACAGGGAGCUUGCUCCUUGGGCGUCGAGUGGCGGAUGGGUGAGUAAUAUAUAGGAAUCUACCUCAUAGUUUGGGAUAACUACUCGCAAGAGUGGCUAAUACCGGAUGUGGACUACGGUUUAAAGCGGGGGAUCUUCGGACCUUGCGCUAUGAGAUGAGCCUAUACAAGAUUAGCUAGUUGGUGAGGUAAAUGCUCACCAAGGCGACGAUCUUUAGCUGGUUUGAGAGGAUGAUCAGCCACACUGGGACUGAGACACGGCCCAGACUCCUACGGGAGGCAGCAGUGGGGAAUAUUGGACAAUGGGCGCAAGCCUGACCCAGCAACGCCGCGUGAAGGAAGAAUGUUUUCGGAUUGUAAACUUCUGUCCUCAGGGAAGAAAAA
rnacentral:rRNA from 1 species